rnacentral:piRNA from 1 species
UGAAGAUUCAGAAGCAUGUCACCUUCAACC